rnacentral:rRNA from 1 species
CCGGCACGGGUGAGUAACACGUAUCCAACCUGCCGUCUACUCUUGGCCAGCCUUCUGAAAGGAAGAUUAAUCCAGGAUGGCAUCAUGAGUUCACAUGUCCGCAUGAUUAAAGGUAUUUUCCGGUAGACGAUGGGGAUGCGUUCCAUUAGUUUGUUGGCGGGGUAACGGCCCACCAAGACUACGAUGGAUAGGGGUUCUGAGAGGAAGGUCCCCCACAUUGGAACUGAGACACGGUCCAA